GGCUACCUGUGUGUGUUAUCUUUGGGAAAAAUAUAGUCCCCUGUGUAUGUGGGUGCCCACCAGGUUAAAUUCUUGGCAAAAAGAUCAUAAACUGGUACUGGUAAUGUGUUAAAUUGACAAGCUAAUUUAACAUCCUUUGAUGAUGUAUGAUAUAAUGUAAAAUAGCAUGAGCAUGAAAAAUGUGAAACAUUACCAGUUAACCAUCCAUUGCAUUUAAUGGAUUGGGGUUUUAGAAGUAAC